rnacentral:lncRNA from 1 species
AAAAAAAAAAAAAAGUAAAAACCGAACCGAGCCAAAUCAAAUCGGAUUUCAGUUUGGUUCAGUAAAUUUUCUUAUUGGUUAGAUUCAAUUCGAUUUUCCAAAAAAACCAAACCAAACCGAACCACUUACACCCCUAACUUUUAUAGCCAUUUUAUUGUUUGAAAGGGGAAGUCAUAUUUUGACUUCAACUUGAAUGAUUGCUUAUAAAUGGUUUGUAAAACCUUUUAUAAAGGUAUCUUAAAAAGUUUAUGAUUAAUAUGGUUUGAAAAGGUGCUUUGAUAUCUAUAUAUUGAAUGCUUGAAUUGUGAAUUAGUUUAUGAAAUGGAUUUUGAAUUGGUUUGGGAAACUCAUUUUGAUAUAUGAAAUGAUUUUGCUUGUGGAUUACUGGAGAUUGAGUUGAUGGUUUAUGCUCAGUGUCUUUGUGACCUAUUGAGGGGUGUGUGGGUAUGUGCAUAUUAAUCUAGGAUAUCCCUGCAAAUCGAGCCACCAACUAAUAAUAAGUGGAAACCUAACCAAGAGGGGGAAUUCUGGUCACCUUCUCAUUAGGCAUUAUGCCGUGACCAUAGUUCGAUGGAUGGACCAUCGUCGUAUGGUUUCAUAUGAGAUGGAUCAAUGGGAUAAACCAUUAAUAUGUGGCAUGAGAUUAAUCAAUAGAAUGGAUCAUUAACAUGUAAUUUUUUAUGAGAUUGACUAAUGGGCUGGACUAUUGGUGUUUGCUUGUUAUUAUCUUGAAUAUUUCUACUUUGAAUAUAUUAUGUUAAAGUAAGAAAUAUUAUAUUUUGGUCUUGAAGGUUUGUUAAAUCUUUAGAUUUGGCGAAAAUGAGUUAUAUUUGUAUUUUAAAUAUGUAUAGUGAUUGCUUGAUUCGCUUGAAAAAACGUUUACUCAUUGGGCCAUGGUAGCUCAUUAAUUUCUUCUUAUCAUAUUUUUCAGGUGCCUCAAUUAGUGACCGAUAGAACACGAGCAAUAUUGCAGGAAUUAUUCAGAGUCGGAUAUUUGGGGUAUACUUUGAGGCUGCAUCUUUUGAAGAAAGGAUCGCCGUGUCACUCCCUCAUCCCUAUAGGAUUUGGGGUGUGACAUAUUUAGUCUCUUGCUUGUAAUAUCAAGAAUGUUAUUGCGAGUUAGUUUCCACUUGAUCUUCUACAAGUAAUAUCGGAGUGAUGCCACACAACUCAACAUAUAAUUGAUGCUUGUGCUUUAGCAUCAGCUCAAUUGGCAUCAAUUGGCUUGUAGAUAGUCAUCCCCAAAGAGUUUGUGACGAAACGAAGUUUAACUUACCUAUAAAAGAGAAAAUAGAUAACUUCAUCUCUUAUCUCUAACAAAGAAAAUUUAUUUUAUUGUUUAUAAACUUUUGUUUACCUAUCUUACCAACUCUUAUAUAAAAUUAGCAAUCUUUUUUAUUUACUUGGUUUAGAGAAAUUUUCUUCAAUUAAAUUAUCAACUAAUUUUGCAUUACAAACUUCCAUACAACUAGUUAACCGAGUAUCAUAUGUUCUUUCUUAACUUACUUACUUUUCUACUUAGGCCUUGUUUGAUAAAAAAUGUUUUUGUUCCUUGGAACAAAAAAUUUUGUUCUUUUAUUCCGGAAAACAAAAAAAAGAACAUAAACGUAUUUGGUAAAACUUUUAUUCCUGGGAAAAAUCCAUUUUUUUGUUUCCGGAAACAAAUUUGGAACAGAAAUAAGAAGUAGAAAAAAGUUACUUUUUAUUCUCGGGAACAAUUCCAAGAAACUAUUUUUCUCUCUCUCCUUUUUUCUUCUCUUUUCUUCUUUUUCCUUUUUUCCUUUGGCCAGCCAUGGUCUACGCCGACGACCGGCCAAACGAGGGCCGGCGACCUUGCCAGAGGGUCGUCGGCCCCUAGAGAUGCCACGCCACAGCAAGGCUGGGCCUCACCAGCCGGCGUAAGGUUGGCCUCGCGCUCACCCAACCUAGGCAAGGCUGAGUCUCACUAGUGAUCAAGUGAGGCUCCAGCGAGCUCGCUGGCUCUUGCCGAACCUCGGCCAGCCGACCGCCGACCGCUAGCAAUCGACCACAAAGAGGAAGAAGGAGAGAAAAGAAAAAAGAAAGAAGAAAAAAAGGAAAAUAUAAUAAAAAUAUUAAAAAAAACUAAAAAAAACAAAAUUAUACAGUUUUACCAAACACAUUUCUUUUCCGAGAAUAGAAAUUUUAUGCAGUUAUCAAGCAUGUUCUUAUACUCAAAAAUUAUUCCUGGGAAUAGAAACAAAAAAAAAAACUAAUUCUGUUCAAAAAUUAUUCCCCAGAACAGAAAUAUUACCAAACGCAUCCUUAGUUUACUACUUUUAUAUGAACUUCUUGGAAAUAAUCUAAUUUUUUUAGAAAUUAUCAAUCAAGUAAUUAUCAGCUUUUCUGUCAUCAAGUUCUCAACUAAUCACCUCUUUUUUGAGUUACACACCAACGUUUAUUUUUUUCCCAUUAAAUUACCAACUUUUCUCAUAGCUAACACAAAAAGUAAAAACUGCUCUUAUAUUUUAGCAACUUUUAUUACAUUUCUUAAGGAUACUUUAUUUUUAGAGAAAAUGACCCCUAAACUUUAACUCAACGUGUAAUGUGAUUCAUUAACUUUUAAUUUAUUUAAUAUGGUCCCUAAGCUUUUACUUAAUCUGUAUUGUUGUUUCUGAAUUUUUAAAUUAUUCAAUGUGAUAUAUGAACUUUGGGUACAUGUUUAAUUUAAUCGUUGAACUACAUGAAAAUGUUCAAUGUUGUUCCUAAAUUUGAAUUAAUAAAAGGAAAAUAUUGAACAUUUUCACAUAAUUCAGAACUAAAUUGAAUAUAUAGCAAAAGUUUGGAGAUCACACUAAACAAAUUAAAAGUUCAUAAACCACAUUAUACAUUAGAGUAAAGUUAAGGGAUCAAAUUGAAUAAAUUAAAAGUUCAAGGAAUACAAAAUACGUUGGGCCAAAUUUCAUAAAUUACAUAUGUCAUCAUCCCAAACUUAUUAUACUAAAGGUUUGACCGAAAACUCAAUAGCUUACUUUUUCACUAAAUAUAUGAAGAAUAAUGGGCCCUUUUAUUGACUCAGGGAGAAAGACACUGCUCUCCCAAACGUUAUUUUCAUUUUUGAAAUUUAAAGAAAAAGUUAUCCAAUUUCAAACAGUUUUAAAUAUUUGAAGUGGUGGAUUCUAAAUUCUAAUAACAAAAAAAUAUUUGAGAUUGUUCCCAACAUCUUAAUAAUAUUCUGUCUUAAAAAAUCUCCUUUGAGCAUAUAAAGAAAAAUUAUGAAUUAGAGAAGAGGAUUAGAGAUCAACGCAUGAAGUGUACAGCCACGUAAUGCAUCAGUGAAAUAAUGUCCACCAACAUUCAUCUGGGUGUCUCGCAUUUUAGAUUCAGAGCACACAAAUCAUCUAACCAAGCAUCGUAAUACUGCAUCACGCCACAUUACAACGAUAUCCGAUCCUAUAAGAUUGUUCAUGAGUUACUCUAGGCUUAUCAAUGCUCCUGGAUUGGAUCAGUCACAAGUUUGGCGCGGACAAGAUUGAAAAGCAUUGACAGGGUAGCUACAGAUCGAAACUGUGGCUGUUGUAAUGGAAUACCGGGUGAAGCGCUCCCCUCCUCAAGUUCUGUGACCUGCACUGCUUGGCAACGCUCGACUGAAGAGUUGCUGGACCGCACACUAUCACGCCAAUAUCGACUUUGCCCCAGCGCUCAGACACGGAUGUGAAGAUUUCUGUGCAAGGAUGGGAAUGGGGAUCAUAUUGUUCCAGCAUAAGCAUCAAUAAGGGCUGAGUUCUUUAAGUACUACCGAGAGUGAGAUCAUUUCCAUCUAAAACAAGUACAUCGUCUCCCGAAUGACAUGGCAAAUUGUACCUUCAAAGUUUGGUCUGGCGCCGUAAUGUGUAGUCCUUGCAACAGGGCGAUCUUUUGGGACUACGCCUUCCUGCAUUGUCUUGAAAUGUUCACUCUGCUGCGACCCAUCAUCCUUCUCACGAUCAUCGGCUUCCUCUGCAACAACCGCUCUUUUUUCCCAGCGAUGCCAUAAAUAGAUGACAGGGCCUCCAAAUAUGAUUGCACUGCCGAUCAUGCAUCCUACAAGCAAGAGGCCUUUGUACCACCAUGUGGCUAUGUUCAAAGGGUUUAUGUAGAAGAUGUCCAGCAGGGCCAUCAAUACAGCAAAGCCAACCGCAGAUGAGAUGACAUGAGCUCCGGACCAUAUACGGUUUCCCGUACCAACUAGAACGGACAUGCCACUUCCCCUUAGUAAAGGAGACACGGAAGUGCUAAUGUCCUCGCCAAUGUUCCCUUCUUCCUGCAUCAUAACCACACUUAGCUCUCCAGUUCAUGGAUUUAAGGCAAAUUGUAUGUCAAAGACACAAGUCAGCUUUACCAGUGGAGGAUGCGAUUCCCUGGUGACAUAGACACGAACUUCGAGGUCCAGCUUAUCGGAAAAGUUAGGGCAGAUCGACUCCAUAUUUAGAGUGGAUAGCAGACGAAGCUCAUUGGAUUUUCUUAUGGCCCAAAUCAACAGGACAUUCUUUGGUAAGCAUGGUUUCCCUUGAUUUGUAAGAUGGAGUAUGUCACUCAAGACAGCCAGAAAGGGGGAUAUCCCACUGCCUCCAGCUACCAGAAUGAGAUUCUCAUAUCUACCAGAGCAAAUAAUUCAAGUAUGAAUCCGCUAAAAAGAGGGGAGACAAUAGUCACAAAGAGAUGGAACUUACGAUCCUGAUGGUAAAAACCAAAUCAAAUGGAAACAAUCUUAAAAUACUUCCUAAUCUAGAAGCACUGAUUAUUUUCAUGAAGGUCAGAAUAGGUUCUUUCAAAUGAAAAGGGUCCAACUUUGCCUAGUUUUACUCAUCGCUGAUGGUUUAAUGCGUUAUUGUAUUCUCGCCCUUAAUCACGAAAGAUGUACUAGUAGAUCAUAAGACAUACGUCAGAUGGUAAGGGAUUUCAUGCCCGUAAGGCCCUUCAACAGAAGCUGUUAUCUUGGACCGAGAUUGACUGCGGAGUCCAUAUUCUCCUUCUGUGCCGGACAUAUGCAAUACCUUGCCCUUCAAGUUGGAGGUCCACUCCCCUAGGACCUUUAUGAGGACAGAGAUGUGUUUACUUCCAGCCAAAGGACUAGAAGAAACACUAAAAGGAUGCCACUGAAGCCAUGACAAUUCCCGAAUCUGAAGGAAGAUGAAACUCAGGGCAGUGUACCGCAGAUCUGCAUCACCAAGAGAAUACAGACUCAAAUAGUAGAACAUUCUCCAAUAGGGUACAGGGAACUAAUUAACGAUCCGCCGAUGAAGAAAAUGAGAAUUAUUAGUACUUGCUGGCUUUGAGAAGACCAAUUCUACACUUCCGCCAGGGAGGCAGGUCGCGGAUAUAACAUCCACAGUCCUUCGCGAUUGGCAGAAUCUGAGAAACCGGUCGAUCACGUAGAGGAAAAUCCCUCCUGCAGCUAUACUGAAGAUAAAAUCUCCGACAUGCAGAGCCAGAAAGAUGACGAAGACAGCAUAGAGCUGGUGUGUAUAGUAGAACAACUCAAAGUUUUUCUUCCUCACCAGAGGCAACGUAGUCACCCACAUCAGUAGACCAGCCAACAGGCUGAUAACCCCGGGUAGAACGGCAAUACCUUCAUCUGCCCACUGCAGUAUCUGGAGAAGACAUUCUGAGUCAUGGACUAAGAACUUCAGCAUAAUCAAGUCCGAUUAUAUUUGAUUACGGAAAUUUUUAAUGGAAAUUACGACAGAUACCGAUCACAUAUUAAGAUACAUCUUAUAAGAGAGCCAUAUAUUUGUGCGUGCAUUCUCAUGUCGUGUUCUGUCUUGACUAGCACUUACGAUGCUCAGAUCCUUAAACAGGAAACGAAAAGAAUGACAAAGAUAAAGCCAAUUGGAGAGAGGAAAAGACAAUCAUUUAAGCAAAAGCAUAUCGCCAGGGCUCACUUCAUCUAGCAGUUGACCUUCCAUCGCCCAUGCAACUACGAAGCAUAGCCCAUGGAGAGUGAAGAGGGACAUUGUCAGAUGUCCAAGCCAGAUAUGAUACCGGGUUGCUUGCUCAAAGGGGACAUCUAUGAUACUAAGAAGAACAGAUCCCCUAGAAAUUGGGAGGAAGAGAAACGCCAAGCAGUAUAACCCGAUGGAACCAAAGCGAAGUCCAGUGAGUAUAAGCAUCAAAAUCCUGCAAAGAACAAUAAAGUACCCAGUGGAACGGCCUUGUUUACUAAGAAUCAAGAAGACGCAUACCACAAUAACACUUGAGGUUUUUUACACGUAAUUUCACUAUGAUUUUAAGCUAGAACAAGGAAUACCAUUUCCCUUCGGAAGAUAAUGAGAGCUCCGAUAACACGUUGAGAUUCUGCAUGGUGUAAGCAUAUAAAGCCCAAAUAGUGAACACAGCAAAGAGGCAAAUCCCAAUAAACUCAGCUGCUGAGACAACUCCGAACGGUCCACCAACCAGGAUGGGAAAUGUCCGCAAUCGAAUCCUUGGGUAUCUGCUAGUCGUCUUCCUGAGAUCUCAUGUUCAAUGGUGAUGUAUGAGGAAGUGAAUUUGUUCAGUGAAAAAUGCGGGGACAAAAAAGGGACACUGGCUAGAGGUUUAACAUACAACUGGAGCUCUUUCUUCCCAUCAACCAUAAGACUUGCUAUGGCAAGAAAGGUGAUGAUGAGAAUCGGACUGCUACACAACAAGAAGUAGCUCCCUGCUGGGUGUUUCAAGCACCAUUAAUGUGACAAUCGUUGCUAGCAGGCUGAGUUCAGGAUCGAGGAGUGAUCAAAAUAGCCGAACCUGUAGUUCCGUACAAGCUUCCGGUGGUUGCGCUGGUCCAACUCUCCAGGAACUCAGUCCCGGCAUCUGAGGGGAAAAGAAAGAAAACCACGACCCAGAAACCGAGGAUGAGCCACAUGGCGAUGCCGAAAACCCAUUUGACAAGCACAGUGGCGAAGGCGGAGCGAGGCAGAUUCUCGUUCUGUGCAUCGGUAAGGUUCUGCAGCAGAGGCUCACCAGCAGAGUGGUCAUCGGCCAUGGAAAGUUGAUGCGGCGAUGGAGGGUAUUCACAGCGGAUUCCAGGACACCUCCAGAUUAUCUGGAACUGUACAACAUCAAGGAAUUAGGCCUUGCAUUGCAGAUAUCAAUCAAGAGGACUAAUAGAAUUCAAGCCACUCACGUCACAAUCCUAGUACUCCCUCUCAGCACCUCCCCUGCCAUCGCACUCGGUAUGUCGUCAUUACACAGCUAGAACUCUUUACACAUGGAGAGUCCAUACCGAUUGCUUCUCGCGAUAUGAAGAUCAUGUCUUUGCCUCUUUCUUGUGUCCGAUCAAACGCUACAAACCAAGCCCACAUAAAAAUGGGACCCGGGCAUGUUCUGCCAUUGCAGGUUAUCCAGAAGAGAAAAGUACUCUUGACAAGUGAAGUCAGGGUGGUCCCCUGUUUUUGUGCACGGAUAGCGAUUUUCUUAUCGUCCUUGUUCGUGACGGUCGCCGUCACUGAGUCCAUUCAUGGCCACACGCAGUUACUCCUGUGCCGGCCCACAAUUACUGAUCGACAAAGAUGACCGCCGUCAUCACCUGGAGAGCAGGAGGAGUGGUUCCCGGUUUUAUUGUCCUCCCCAUAACCUUGGAAAGAAACAAAAGUUUCCAAUCGCUCUUCUCCACGUGUUUUGUGUACUCAGCUACUUCGAUAGUCGAAACGUCGCCAUAGUCCUCCCCACAUUAGCAGCUCUUCAUCAUCCUUCUUCCCGAGCGAAGAGCCUAGGAGACAGACCGGACCGGACCACCGUCCUGAUCGGUCACGUGAAUUACUUAAUGAAUCUUAAUCAGCUGCUGUUAUAGUGGAAGAACUGAUAAUGACUAUUCAUACGGAAAUGAAUGGUUAUCUUAAUUCAUUAAUAAUUGGACUAAUUCAUUAAUAAUUGGACAGGUAAGGAAAUUUCUCAUUAAGUUACUUGGUUACAUAAAAAAUGAAUAAACUUCAAUUCCAAGAAAUUAUAUAUUUACUAAAACAUUUACCGAAGAAACGGAAGUCUUAUUGAAAGAAGCUAUCCAAGAACAUAAAGAAUGUUUCUAGACUUGUUUAUUGAAUCCACGGCUUGUUCCUGUUGCUGAAUCUUGUUAAUGAAAUGAAAACGAACAAGAAGAAGAAAGGCCCAAAAAAUUAAAUCAAUCUCAAUCAGCUCCUCUCAUAAUAAAAGAACAUAGAAUGAGUAUUCACAGGAUAAUGAAUGGUUAUCUUUUGUUCCCAUUGCUGAAUCUUUUUAAUGAAAUGAAAAGGAACAAGAAGAAGAAGACCCAAAAAAUUAAAUCAAUCCCAAUUGGCUCCUCUCAUAAUAAAAGAACAGAUAAUGACUAUUUAUACGAAAAUGAAUGGUUAUCUUUUAUUCCUGUUGCUGAAUCUUAUUAAUGAAAUGAAAACGAACAAGAAGAAGAAGACCCAAAAAAUCAAAUCAAUCCCAAUCAACUCCUCUCAUAAUAAUAAAUAAAUAAAUAAAUAAAGAUAAUGACUAUUUAUAUGAAAAUGAAUGGUUAUCUUAAUUCAUUAGAAAUUGGACAAAUAAGAAAAUUUCUCAUUGAGUUACAUACUUAUAUAAAAAUGAAUAAACCUAAAUUUCAAGGAAUUAUAUAUUUUAUUAGAAACAUUUAUUGAAGAAGCAAAAGCCCUAUUGAGAAGCUGGAACGGUUUCUAGACCUAUUUACUAAAUCCGAUUGUUGCUGAUUCUUGUCAGUGAAAUGAAAAACGAAGAAGAAGAAGAAGAAGAAGAAGACCCCAAAAAAUUGAAAAGACUGAACCGAGUCUCAAAGGUCACGCCCGGUGGGACUCGAACCCACAAUCGUCUGAUUAGAAGUCAGACGCCUUAUCCAUUAGGCCACGGGCGCUUCACGGUGUGAAAGGUCUCUCUCUAUAUAUAUAUUAUCUAUAUUCAUCUACAUCCCCACAAAAACUUCCCUAGCCUGGAUGAGCGAAAUGGCAAUGAGGAUGUCCCGCGCAGACAGCAUGCAAAGGUCCCGUGAAUAAACGCCAUAUAAUUUUUCGCGGGCCAUAAUGUCAAAAUAUUUUUUGGAGUUCGAAGAUACAAUUUUAGAUACCCAGGGCCCAAAUCUAGCCUAUGCUUCAUGACUUUUUCUUGAAGACCUGAUAAAUGAUACUUUGCAUAGAAAGACCAUCAUACCAAGUAGGGAGAAUUACCAAAAAAGUCCUAAACCUAUUGCAUUUUGGCCAAUUCAGUCCUAAACUUUUUUUUUUGGCCAAUUUAGUCCUAAACCUUUUAUAAUUGUGUCAAUUCAGUCCUUCCGGCCAAAAUUGGCCGGCCGGAGCUGACGUGGACGCCGGCCGGAGACAGCUGGCCGGCGAACAAUUUNNNNNNNNNNNNNNNNNNNNNNNNNNNNNNNNNNNNNNNNNNNNNNNNNNNNNNNNNNNNNNNNNNNNNNNNNNNNNNNNNNNNNNNNNNNNNNNNNNNNCGCCGCCGGCCAGAGGAAGAAGAAGAAGGUAAGAAAUAAAAAAAUAAAAAAUUAAAAAAAUCAAUAAAUUAAAAAAAAUCGAAUUUUUUUUUAAAAAAUUAUUAAAAAAUUGUUCGCCGGCCAGCUGUCUCCGGCCGGCGUCCACGUCAGCUCCGGCCGGCCAAUUUUGGCCGGAAGGACUAAAUUUGCACAAUUAUAAAAGGUUUAGGACUCAAUUGACCAAAAAAAAAAGUUUAGGACUGAAUUGGCCCAAAUGCAAUAGGUUUAGGACUUUUUUGGUAAUUCUCCCUACCAAGUAUGCUCUUCCUCCGCGCAUAGUGUGAAUUUCACGUCUUGUUUCGGUCCUGCGUACAUAGAAAUAAGUACUUUCCCCAAGCUCCUGACGAUGAUUUUCCCUUCGCGUCUUUCCUCUAGGAAGGAUCAAUUUGGACAGAGAUUGCUCUUGUUCGCUGCCAAUCUCCUUGAUCUAUGUCCAUUUUCAGAGACAAAAGAGAACAUGGCGAAAGGAGCGAUGAUCCACUCGAUGCGUGAUUAUUCCCGGGAUCAUUUCUCGUGGAUAACCUCACCUCCGUCGGAAAGGCAAAAACCUUAAUACACCUUAUAAUUACCAUGCAAAAAGUUUGAUAAUUACUCGAAACAAAUCAAGUGCCGUUGCUCUUAUUACAAGUGAUACGCAUCCUUUGCGAUACAAGAUUGGAAUAAGCAACGAUGUGCAGCGAAAAACACAAUGCCACGCUCUAGCAAUCGGUUCAAACUAAAUACAUGCUGUCCGAUCCAUCAAAUCUACCACGGACCUGUCAGCGUCCUCUUCAAGCAACAUUGCCUCUUAUCUUCCCGGUACAGUCCAUUCACCUUCUGCGAGAUCUGUUCACAACAUAUCCGAAGGUGAUCAUCAGGCCCUCCACCGCAAAACAAGCAGACUAUGAGCCUCAAAUUUAUGGAUUAUGAAUGCUUCACUGAAGUUCUAUUCAAUAGGGAUAAGUUCAUCAAUGCAGAUUGUUCAACUAAUUUUUCUUGAGGACUUUUUGGUACACCAAAUUUUUGGCCCCGAGUCUAAGUGUAUGGCAGAUUCACCGCAUAAUCUUUAUGACAAAUGAUAUGCUCAUCAUUUAUUAAUUGAUUAUUGAAGGACACACCCAGGGCCCACGGCACUUGCGCUCCUGGCAAGUCCUCUGGAACCAAACAAUUUAGUAAAAGUUAGCAGCUUACUCUGUCUUGCACAUGGAAAGUUUCUCGGUUUCUGUUGCGUGAAGAUGAUUUAGAUAGUUUAACGAUCAAUGGGCAUAAACAGAGUAUGGUGCCGUGCAGUAUAUUAUGACACGACAACACCCAUUUACGAAGUAGAAAGAUACUAUAUACGUGCAGGUCCUGGUCGGCCAAGUUGCCGCUUCAACAUUCCUACCAGGUUUAUUAAUACCUCAAGGAUAUAGGCAAUUACUAACUUGCAUGGAUAAAGAAUUUGAUGCCCACGAAUGUCUUAUCUGCUCAUUUGCUUAGUCGUGAUAGAAGCAAUAGGUUCAGAUGAGGACUAUAAGCGGAAGCUAGACAUACCUGAUUUUUCUGCAUUUCCAUAAAUUCAGCCUGUAAAUAUAGAAAAUAUUUGUCAUGGCGGGAAGAAAAGAAAAUAGUGAUCUGCAGUUUGCCUGCGACAGCAUCUCAGGUUGGGUGAAUUACCUGUUUUCUAAGUAGUUCCUGAUUUAUCUCUUUCAGUCUUGCGAUUUCUGCUUCCAGUUCCAUAUUAUAGGCCUGCCAGAAAUUAAAGAGACUAGGGGGAUGAGCUAUAGAUCCAUUUCUUAGUAAAAUCACCUGAAAAUUAAAGCCUAGUCUGAAAGCUAUACUUAUUUCAAGCAGAAGACACAUUUAAACCAUGGUGCCGUAUGAAAUAUGCAUCUAUGUAUCUAAAUAGCAUCUAGCAAAACCGCUUAUGUUUUAAGGAGUUCAACGGUCACAAACAAAUGAACGAUACUUGUUCCUCUCAAAGAAACUUUCAAAAGAGUAAAUAUUCUUUAACUGCACUCUUGAUGAUUCUAAGACGAUAGUUCCAGCAACUCCUCAGCAGAGGAGCAAACCACGUUAGCUGAAAAAUAGGAUGACAGCAUGUGCAGGUUCCAGGCUACAUACAUGAGAUUCCCAAGCACAUCACCACAGCGGGAUCUUAACUCUUUCUUCGGCUUUCAUUAUAUAAUGUUUCCUUGGACUUCUUAGUAGCUAAAAACAUCAUAUUUUGCUGGUUGAUUUAAAAAAAAAUGGGCUAGCAAGACCUAGCCAGUGAGCUUUCCUAGUCUAGUGAAGAGCUUAAUCAAAGAAGAGCAAUUUUUUAGCAUCCUCACCUGCUUGCGAGCCCUUGACCUGGCAGCAGACUCCCUAUUUUUUAUCAUUCUCCUGUGCCUUCGCUCAAUUGCUUUCUCCAAUCCAUCUUUGGAUCUUCUUCCACGGCCAAAAGCAUAAGGAACUGGUGACAACGAGGAUACAUCUGUACUAUUGUUGGAAAUUGCAUCCGGUGAUACCAGUUUUGCUGGAGAUUCAACAGCGAAACCUGCUCGGCCCAAAUCCCCCAAGCACGGUCCUCCAGCCUGCAUAGCACCACUGUGAACUAAUGCUUUGUUGAACGAUGAGUGCGUGAUUCCAAUCGCUUCCCUUGACCCUGGACUUGCUAUAUGAGCUGUAUUUGGUAGAUGCACGGAGGUUGCAAAUGACACAGUUUCCGGCUUUGGAAAAAGCGGAGCCGGUGGUUCAAGCGGCUGUGGCUGUGGUUGUUGCUGUAGCUGAGUAGGUCUAGUUCCAAUAAAAUCUAACGAUGAACCAGCAGGCUUACUAGAGAAUAUGAAAUCGUUUCCAGCAGCCGCACUACUGGCGAGACCAUUACUAGUGAAUUGUGACAUUUCUUCAUGAACUCCAUUGUCGCCAGGCCUUGCCAUCAUUUGUGUGUCCUCCCUCACAACGCCGGCUCUCACUAGGAACUCCUCCAAUGUCAUCUCUCCCAAAGUCCGUUGCCUCUCUGGCAAAUUUAUGUCACCUCCUUCUCUACUCCCUUCUUUCACAUCCUCCGUCUCUUUGAAUAAUUCUCUCCACACUUCAUCAACUGUUUUUUGACUAAUAGUCCGCGACAGAGUCAAUGACCCCUGUCUCAGCAAAUUCCCUACUUGACCACCUCCUUCCCCUCCAUUACCAGAAGGCGCCAUGUCUUGUAGCUGUAGUUGGCUCUCCUCAGCUGUCCAUAUGUUCUUCAGGAACUCAUCCAUGUUGAUGGAUCCAAUAUCCUUAGAAAGUCCACUCCAUGUGUUCUGAAACUCAUUGAAAGUCAAGGAAUAUACUGAGGAUUGUCGAGAUAAUGGGGGAAUUCCUGGUUGCCCUCCGGUGCUUCUUUCGGCUGCUGGCACAUCGGCCAAGUUUCGGAAGUUCAUUUGAGGACCCAUUCUGCAAGCUAGAAUUUUUACACGCCCAUCCAAGCGAAUUGGAUCAGUCCUCAAUAUUUAAUUCGUUUUCUUCCACUCAUGUCAUGAAUCAGCCACGAAAAAUAAAAGCUAGACAGACUGAGUCCGUGACAUACUAUUCACACAUCUUUAAGGUUCAGUUCUAGGAAGAAGAUGCUUAUCAAAUCAUUAUAAAAAAAAAGUGCCAACGGGGAGAGCAAGUGCUUUUCAACCGGCAGGAAACACCUCGGUUCGUUUCCAUCCGACAAAACAUUCUAAACUUGAGAAUAGACAAAUCAUCAAGAAGCUUUCGAGCAUAAAAGAAGAAAAUCAAAUUAAGUCCAAAGUACGCAUAGAGUAUAGAAAUCUCAGACGACGAGACUCUCGAGCAGCACACGGCACGAAUUACCAGACCCACGUGUCCCUCAACUUCAUUGCAGGAAGACGCCGACCGCUUUUCGAACCGGCUCAUCAACUCGAGCUAAACUAGACAAGACGCCAUAAGAAAAAAACCGUUGGAAAUCUGCAAAACAGCGCGACCCAGAACCUCCUCUAACUCCACACCUCGAACUCAUCACUCGAAAAUCCGCAAACCAGGGGGUGGAUUCAAGAAAGAACACUAAUUUUAGCAACUCCCAACUUCAGUAAAACCAUUUUCCCCGACGGGGUCGCGUCAGCCCAGAUAGCAACUGUAAAAACCCGAGCUCGGCAACCAAGAACCAGCAAGAAAAACGCGACCCCGCCAUUUCCAAAUGUAGAAUCAAGUUGGACUUGCGAAGGGAGGGGGAGGGUGACGGUUUUUACCU